UACGUAGGGUGCGAGCGUUGUCCGGAAUUACUGGGCGUAAAGAGCUCGUAGGUGGUUUGUCGCGUUGUUCGUGAAAACUCACAGCUCAACUGUGGGCGUGCGGGCGAUACGGGCAGACUGGAGUACUGCAGGGGAGACUGGAAUUCCUGGUGGAGCGGUGGAAUGCGCAGAUAUCAGGAGGAACACCGGUGGCGAAGGCGGGUCUCUGGGCAGUAACUGACGCUGAGGAGCGAAAGCGUGGGGAGCGAACAGG
rnacentral:rRNA from 1 species